rnacentral:lncRNA from 1 species
CACGCUGGAAAUAACCAUAUAAAAACCUGAACUCAAAGAAGAGAACUGGAAUAAUCCUCCCUUAUCCCACUUCCCAUGGUGAGCCCCAGCUGGGACGCUGACACAUGGCCCCAACUUUUCCUCCUGCCUGAUGUCUGGACCCACAGGGGACAGAUGGUGGUCCCUGGUCACUGAAGUACCCACAGAACCCAUGCAAGAGGCACAAAACCAUCUGCUUAGUGGUCAUGUGGCAGCAGACAGUAUCUCAGAAGUCCUCGCAGCAUAUGACUUCACUGAUGAAGAUGGAUCACACUUGAGCAGGGAUUCUUGAUCUCUGCAAAACAGCUCAUACACAACAGGAACAAUCUCACAGAUAAGAAAAACUCCAGAAGUUGGUCUCGGGCUAUGAAAAUUUCUGCCACAAUAUGAUUUAUAUGAAAAUAAAUAAAGUGGGUCUACUACUUUA